AAUGAACGCUGGCGGCAGGCCUAACACAUGCAAGUCGAACGGAUCCUUCGGGAUUAGUGGCGGACGGGUGAGUAACGCGUGGGAACAUACCCUUUGGUACGGAAUAGCCUCGGGAAACUGGGAGUAAUACCGUAUGUGGUCGAGAGACGAAAGAUUUAUCGCCAAAGGAUUGGCCCGCGUUGGAUUAGGUAGUUGGUGGGGUAAUGGCCUACCAAGCCGACGAUCCAUAGCUGGUUUGAGAGGAUGAUCAGCCACACUGGGACUGAGACACGGCCCAGACUCCUACGGGAGGCAGCAGUGGGGAAUCUUAGACAAUGGGGGAAACCCUGAUCUAGCCAUGCCGCGUGAUCGAUGAAGGCCUAGGGUUGUAAAGAUCUUUCAGGUGGGAAGAUAAGGACUGUACCACCAGAAGAAGCCCCGGCUAACUCCGUGCCAGCCGCCGCGGUAA
rnacentral:rRNA from 1 species